CACUAAGAUAAUGUUAAGUACUUUGCUUAAUAAUUUAUGGUCAAUGAAGUGUAUAAAUUAAAUUACUAAAGUCUUGUAGUCAACCUUCCAAGAAAUUUGCGUAUAAGACUAAAUGUUAAUAACACAAUUCUGAUGGCCCAAUGCCCUAUUCUAUGAGCCCAAACAAGUAAAAGAAACUCAAAUCAAAAUUUGAGCCCUGAAAGCUCCAAAGAAAAUAAGAAAGAAAAUAGGAAGGAACCUCCCCUAAAAACCCACAGUCAACCGAUCACCACCUCCCCCUACUCCUCUCCUUGUUCCCUACUCUAAUCUCCCCUAUGAUGAACCACCAUUCAUCAUCUACCACCUUCAUUUUUGUCUCCAAAAAUCUGUUUAUAUAUACACAGAAGAACUAAACUUUGAAAUCAGAAAUUCAAACCAUAAACAUCAUAAAAUUUCUUCUUCUCUCACUCCUCUUCUCGGCACCACCGAGCCACCACCACUGCGUGCACCACUUUCUGUGUGCCACCACCCUCUGACCGACGAAAUCACGCCAGUCCCUCGCCGGCGACCCACGCCACACCUGCAGCCCGUUGUCGCUGCUCUCUCUCCUCUUUUCUUCGUUCACUCCUCUGUUUUCGUUCGUUGCUCGCUGCUGUUGUCAUGGCUUGGACGUGCGUGUUGCACCGACGAACGCCGCCGACCUCCCGUGUUGCCGCCUACAAGUCAACCGGACGCAACAGUUGCCGGAGCUCCUCCCAGUCCCUGCUGUGUCAUCCCUACUCUAUGUAGCAGAGUCGUGCACGAACCAAGCUGUUUAUUAGGGCACUGGCCCAUCAUUUAUUACCAUGGCAAUGGCCCUUUAUUAGUGUAGAGCAACGUCCGGGGCACAGGCCCUUGCACAGUGGUGCACACACAUGGCUGGGAGACGUCCCAAAGUUGACAGAUUUUACAGCAACCAGAGUAAAAAUGUGUAAAAAGGAUCAGUGAUUGAUAGAGGUACUGCUGAGGAGGAUGGUACUGCGUAGUGGCAAUGAUUACCACCUUAUUAAAUCAUCUAGUAAUAGUAACUUGCAAUGUUAACUUAACUGGAAUGUAAGACCACAUACUUUAAUAUAAAU